GCCCCGAUGGUGUAGUCCGGCCAAUCAUUCAGCACUUUCGAUGCUGAGACUCGGGUUCAAAUCCCGAUCGGGGCA
rnacentral:tRNA from 1 species